CAUUAUUAUCUAUUUACUGUGAACUGUAUUAUUAUUUGACAUUUGAGGGAUGUUCCAAUGUUAUAAGGAUAGACAUUGGAAAUGUUAACCGAGUCAUAAUCAGGUUUAGGCCUGGUAUCCUAUUAUUAUUUACCAAAUGAAUUCAGAAUUAAUAUUGUAACAUAGACCUAAAAAAUCUAUAAAACAACUUUUAACAACGGAUCUCUUGGUUCUCGCAUCGAUGAAGAACGUAGCAAAGUGCGAUAACUAGUGUGAAUUGCAUAUUCAGUGAAUCAUCGAGUCUUUGAACGCAACUUGCGCUCAUUGGUAUUCCAAUGAGCACGCCUGUUUCAGUAUCAAAACAAACCCUCUAUCCAACUUUUGUUGUAUAGGAUUAUUGGGGGCCUCUCGAUCUGUAUAGAUCUUGAAAUCCCUGAAAUUUACUAAGGCCUGAACUUGUUUAAAUGCCUGAACUUUUUUUUAAUAUAAAGGAAAGCUCUUGUAAUUGACUUUGAUGGGGCCUCCCAAAUAAAUCUUUUUUAAAUUUGAUCUGAAAUCAGGCGGGAUUACCCGCUGAACUUAAGCAUAUCAAUAAGCCGGAGGAAAA
rnacentral:rRNA from 1 species